AUGCUUGCUUUGGUAGCACAUGUACUAGAGUUGGAACAAUAGAGAGAUGGGCAUGGCCUCUGUGCAAGAAAGACAUGCAAAUUGUGAAGCAUUCCUUUUUUAA
ensembl:snRNA U6 U6 spliceosomal RNA